UACGUAGGGUGCAAGCGUUAAUCGGAAUUACUGGGCGUAAAGCGUGCGCAGGCGGCUUUGCAAGACAGAUGUGAAAUCCCCGGGCUUAACCUGGGAACUGCAUUUGUGACUGCAUGGCUGGAGUGCGGCAGAGGGGGUGGAAUUCCACGUGUAGCAGUGAAAUGCGUAGAGAUGUGGAGGAACACCGAUGGCGAAGGCAGCCCCCUGGGCUAACACUGACGCUCAGGCACGAAAGCGUGGGGAGCAAACAGG
rnacentral:rRNA from 1 species